rnacentral:rRNA from 1 species
UACGGAGGGGCUAGCGUUGUUCGGAAUUACUGGGCGUAAAGCGCGCGUAGGCGGCUUGUAAGUCAGAGGUGAAAUCCCGGGGCUCAACUCCGGAACUGCCUUUGAAACUGCAUCGCUUGAAUGUCGGAGAGGUGAGUGGAAUUCCGAGUGUAGAGGUGAAAUGCGUAGAUAUGCGGAGGAACACCGAUGGCGAAGGCAAUCCCUGGACCUGUA